UGUUCUGUGGCGGAGUUGGUUAACGCGCCCUGUCUAGCGAAGUUAGGGAGACGUGGGUUCAAACCCCACCAGGGCCA
rnacentral:tRNA from 1 species